rnacentral:rRNA from 1 species
AGAGUUUGAUCAUGGCUCAGGACGAACGCUGGCGGCGUGCUUAACACAUGCAAGUGGUGCGACGAACCAGGGCUUGCCCUGGGGCUAAGCCGCGAACGGGUGAGUAACACGUGGGUAACCUGCCCCGAUGACCGGGACAACCCGAGGAAACUCGGGCUAAUACCGGAUGUGGUGCACAGACAUAAGCCUGUGUACUAAAGGAAGCUUCGGCCUCCGCAUUGGGAGGGGCCCGCGGCCCAUUAGCUUGUUGGUGGGGUCACGGCCUACCAAGGCAACGAUGGGUAGCUGGUCUGAGAGGACGAUCAGCCACACUGGGACUGAGACACGGCCCAGACUCCUACGGGAGGCAGCAGUGGGGAAUCUUGCGCAAUGCGCGAAAGCGUGACGCAGCAACGCCGCGUGGGGGAAGACGGCCUUCGGGUUGUAAACCCCUUUCAGGAGGGACGAAGGUUCACCGGUUAAUAGCCGAGUGGAUUGACGGUACCUCCACAAGAAGCUCCGGCUAACUACGUGCCAGCAGCCGCGGUA